rnacentral:rRNA from 1 species
CCCGCUGAACUUAAGCAUAUCAAUAAGCGGAGGAAAAGAAACUAACAAGUAUUCCCCUAGUAACUGCGAGUGAAGCGGGAAAAGCUCAAAUUUAAAAUCUGGUGGUCUUUGGCCAUCCGAGUUGUAAUUUAGAGAAGCGUCUUCCGCGCUGGACCAUGCAUAAGUCUCCUGGAAUGGAGCGUCAUAGAGGGUGAGAAUCCCGUCUUUGGCAUGGACCCCCAGGGCUUCUGUGAUGCGCUCUCAAAGAGUCGAGUUGUUUGGGAAUGCAGCUCAAAAUGGGUGGUGAACUCCAUCUAAAGCUAAAUAUUGGCGAGAGACCGAUAGCGAACAAGUACCGUGAGGGAAAGAUGAAAAGCACUUUGGAAAGAGAGUGAAACAGUACGUGAAAUUGUUGAAAGGGAAACGCUUGAAGUCAGUCGCGUCGACCGAGACUCAGCCUCGCCUUGGCUUGGUGUACUUCUCGGCUGACGGGUCAGCAUCAAUUUCGAUCCUUGGAUAAUGGCAAGGGAAAGGGAGCCCCUUUACAGGUGUGUUAUAGUCCUUUGUCGGAUGCAAGGGUUGGGAUUGAGGAACUCAGCACGCACCUCAUCGGUGUCGGGGCCUUUUUGCCUACGUUACGUGCUUAAGAUGCUGGCAUUAUGGCUUUAAAACACCCGUCUUGAAACACGG